GAGCACUGAAACUGGCAAUUGGCAAAGACUACCGGACAUGUGGGAUGAAAGGGCGUGCCAUGCAUCAAUUGCCACAGAAGGCAGUGUCAUUGUUUUUGGUGGAAGAGGACAUCAUGGAAGAUUACUUUCUUCCGUCGAAGAGUAUGACUUAAAGAAGAACGAAUGGAAGCAGCUAAACUCAAUGCCGGAGCCAAGAAUGGGCAUGGCUGCAGUGGUGAAGAAUAAAUGCAUAUGGCUUUUGGGAGGAAUGUCUGAGAGGCCCAAUGGCCCUGCUGUUUCUGAAGUUCUUCUGUAUUCACUACAGCAUGACAGGCAAGUUUUUGUAUUUCACACCUUUCUAUGCUCUAGUCUCAUAUUUUUUGUGCAUACAUAAAGGGUGUUUACUUUAUUUCUAACAGCUGGACUCAAGGUAUACCGCUCAGGCUACCUCGAGCCUUUUCAUCUGCAACUCUCAUCAAUGGCAACAUCUGGCUCUGUGGUGGCUGCAGAACAGCAAAUGAAGAGGAGCACCCUGUCAGCAUGAACUCUAUUGAUGUGUGCUCCAAGCACUCAGAAUGGAAAAAAACUUGCAAGCUUGCAGUGGCCAGGCAUAGUGCUUCUAUUGCAACCAUAGGUUCAUGCAUAUUCAUCAUGGGUGGCAUCAACAGCCAAGAAUGGGGUGUACUUUCCAAGAACACAUUGAUUGUUACUGACCGGAAUGCGAUAUUAUCACCGAGCCCAAUGCCUCAAGAAGUUGCUGGACACACUGCUGUCACUGUGUUGCCCUCUGCUAGUCGGCAUCCAAUUCCCAGCAUCAAGUGGAGCAACACCAUAUUUGAAAGGCUUACGUGAUGCCUGCUUGCGGCCACAAAAAUAAAAAUAAAAAAUUGCAGACAUUCAGCAUUCUGAUGGCAACC